GACGAACGCUGGCGGCGUGCUUAACACAUGCAAGUCGAACGGUAAGGCCCUUCGGGGUACACGAGUGGCGAACGGGUGAGUAACACGUGGGUGAUCUGCCCUGCACUUCGGGAUAAGCCUGGGCAACUGGGUCUAAUACCGGAUAGGACCCUGGGAUGCAUGUCCUGGGGUGGAAAGCUUUUGCGGUGUGGGAUGGGCCCGAGGUCUAUGGGCUUGUUGGUGGGGUUGUGGGCUACCAAGGCGACGACGGGUAGCCGGCCUGGGAGGGUGGGCAGACAUACUUGGACGGAGAGACCACCCAGACUACGACGGGGGGCAGCAGUGGGGAAUAUUGCACAAGGGGGGCAAGCCUGAAGCAACGACGCCGCGUGAGGAAUGUCGGCCUUCGGGUUGUAAACCUCUUUCAGCACCGACGAUGCGCAAGUGACGGUAGGUGCAGAAGAAGCACCGGCCAACUACGUGCCAGCCGCCGCGGUAA
rnacentral:rRNA from 1 species